GACGAACGCUGGCGGCGUGCUUAACACAUGCCGGUCGAACGGAAAGGCCCCUUUGGGGGUACUCGAGUGGCGAACGGGUGAGUAACACGUGAGUAACCUGCCCUUGACUUCGGGAUAACUUCAGGAAACUGGGGCUAAUACCGGAUAGGAAUCCUUGCUGCAUGGUGGGGGUUGGAAAGCUUCGGCGGUUUUGGAUGGACUCGCGGCUUAUCAGCUUGUUGGUGGGGUAGUGGCUUACCAAGGCUUUGACGGGUAGCCGGCCUGAGAGGGCGACCGGCCACAUUGGGACUGAGAUACGGCCCAGACUCCUACGGGAGGCAGCAGUGGGGAAUAUUGCACAAUGGGCGGAAGCCUGAUGCAGCAACGCCGCGUGCGGGAUGACGGCCUUCGGGUUGUAAACCGCUUUCAGCAGGGGCGAAGCUUGUGGUGACGGUACCUGCAGAAGAAGCACCGGCUAACUACGUG
rnacentral:rRNA from 1 species